GAUGAACGCUGGCGGCGUGCCUAAUACAUGCAAGUCGAGCGAACAGACGAGGAGCUUGCUCCUUCGACGUUAGCGGCGGACGGGUGAGUAACACGUAGGCAACCUACCUAUAAGACUGGGAUAACUUCGGGAAACCGGAGCUAAUACCGGAUAAUAUUUCGAACCGCAUGGUUCGAUAGUGAAAGAUGGCUUUGCUAUCACUUAUAGAUGGACCUGCGCCGUAUUAGCUAGUUGGUAAGGUAACGGCUUACCAAGGCAACGAUACGUAGCCGACCUGAGAGGGUGAUCGGCCAAACUGGAACUGAGACACGGGCCAGACCCCUACGGGGGGCAGCAGUAGGGAAUCUUCCGCAAUGGGCGAAAGCCUGACGGAGCAACGCCGCGUGAGUGAUGAAGGUCUUCGGAUCGUAAAACUCUGUUAUUAGGGAAGAACAAACGUGUAAGUAACUGUGCACGUCUUGACGGUACCUAAUCAGAAAGCCACGGCUAACUACGUG
rnacentral:rRNA from 1 species